rnacentral:rRNA from 1 species
GUGUCAGCCGCCGCGGUAAUACGAAGGGUGCAAGCGUUAAUCGGAAUUACUGGGCGCAAAGCGUGCGUAGGCGGUUUGUUAAGUCUGCUGUGAAAUCCCCGGGCUCAACCUGGGAAUGGCAGUGGAUACUGGCAAGCUAGAGUGUGUCAGAGGGUGGUGGAAUUCCCGGUGUAGCGGUGAAAUGCGUAGAGAUCGGGAGGAACAUCAGUGGCGAAGGCGGCCACCUGGGACAACACUGACGCUGAGGCACGAAAGCGUGGGGAGCAAACAGGAUUAGAUACCCUGGUAGUCCACGCCCUAAACAAUGCGAACUGGAUGUUGGUCUCAACUCGGAGAUCAGUGUCGAAGCUAACGCGUUAAGUUCGCCGCCUGGGGAGUACGGUCGCAAGACUGAA